GGAGGCUUGGUGUAGCGGUAACACACACGACGCCAGAAGCAACCAGUGCGGCGACGGUCUGGCCCACCUGAGCACGAGCCGAGGAUUAGCCUGGGCGUGAGCCCGGGGUUCGAGUCCCCAAGUCUCCG